rnacentral:rRNA from 1 species
AGCCAUCAGUGAGAUACCACUCUUGGUAAGCUGGAGCGCUCAGUCUUCACCGUCAUCCGGUAAGACGACGGUUUCAGGCGGGCAGUUUGACUGGGGCAGUCACCUCCCAAAAGGUAAUGGAGGUGUGCAAAGGUUCCCUCAGGCUGGACGGAAAUCAGCCAUAGAGUGUAAAAGCAUAAGGGAGCUUGACUGCGAGACUGACAUGUCAAGCAGAGACGAAAGUCGGCUUUAGUGAUCCGACGGUGCUGUGUGGAAAGGCCGUCGCUCAACGGAUAAAAGUUACUCUAGGGAUAACA